rnacentral:piRNA from 1 species
AACAGAAUAAGUGGCUUAUCGUCAGUGA